UACGGAGGGGGCUAGCGUUGUUCGGAAUUACUGGGCGUAAAGCGCACGUAGGCGGCUUUGUAAGUUAGAGGUGAAAGCCCAGGGCUUAACCCUGGAAUUGCCUUUAAGACUGCAUCGCUAGAAUCGUGGAGAGGUGAGUGGAAUUCCGAGUGUAGAGGUGAAAUGCGUAGAUAUCACUCGGAAGGCCAACGGCGAAGGCAGGUCACUGGUACGCAACUGACGCUGAGGCACGAAAGCGUGGGGAGCAAACAGG
rnacentral:rRNA from 1 species